GGGCCCGCACAAGCGGUGGAGCAUGUGGUUUAAUUCGAUGAUACGCGAGGAACCUUACCAGGGCUUAAAUGUUAGGUGACAGAUCUAGAAAUAGAUUUUUCUUCGGACACUUAACAAGGUGCUGCAUGGUUGUCGUCAGCUCGUGCCGUGAGGUGUCAGGUUAAGUCCUAUAACGAGCGCAACCCCCUGUUGUUAGUUGCCAGCGAGUAAUGUCGGGAACUCUAGCAAGACUGCCAGUGCAAACUGUGAGGAAGGUGGGGAUGACGUCAAAUCAUCACGGCCCUUACGUCCUGGGCUACACACGUACUACAAUGCUACGGACAAAGGGCAGCAAACUCGCGAGAGCUAGCAAAUCCCAUAAACGUGGCUC
rnacentral:rRNA from 1 species